rnacentral:rRNA from 1 species
UACAGAGGUCUCAACCGUUGUUCGGAUUCAUUGGGCGUAAAGAGCUCGUAGGCGGUGUGUCACGUCGGCCGUGAAAACCUGGGGCUUAACUCUGGGCGUGCGGUCGAUACGGGCAUCACUAGAGUUCGGCAGGGGAGACUGGAAUUCCUGGUGUAGCGGUGAAAUGCGCAGAUAUCAGGAGGAACACCGGUGGCGAAGGCGGGUCUCUGGGCCGAUACUGACGCUGAGGAGCGAAAGCAUGGGUAGCGAACAGG